rnacentral:rRNA from 1 species
UACAGAGGGUGCGAGCGUUAAUCGGAAUUACUGGGCGUAAAGCGUGCGUAGACGGUCAUGUAAGUCGGGUGUGAAAGCCCCGGGCUCAACCUGGGAAUUGCAUUCGAGACUGCAUGGCUAGGAUGCGGAAGAGGGAAGCGGAAUUUCCGGUGUAGCGGUGAAAUGCGUAGAUAUCUGGAGGAAUACCGGUGGCGAAGGCGGCAUCCUGGACCGGCAUUGACGCUGAGGAGCGAAAGCUAGGGGAGCAAACGGG